rnacentral:rRNA from 1 species
CCUACGGGGGGCAGCAGUGGGGAAUAUUGGGCAAUGGGCGCAAGCCUGACCCAGCAACGCCGCGUGAAGGAAGAAGGCUCUCGGGUUGUAAACUUCUUUUAUCAGGGACGAAGCAAGUGACGGUACCUGAUGAAUAAGCCACGGCUAACUACGUGCCAGGAGCCGCGGUAAUACGUAGGUGGCAAGCGUUAUCCGGAUUUACUGGGUGUACAGGGCGUGUAGGCGGGAAAGCAAGUCAGAUGUGAAAACCAUGGGCUCAACCUGUGGCCUGCAUUUGAAACUGUUUUUCUUGAGUACUGGAGGGGCAGACGGAAUUCGUAGUGUAGCGGUGAAAUGCGUAGAUAUUAGGAGGAACACCAGUGGCGAAGGCGGUCUGCUGGACAGCAACUGACGCUGAUGCGCGAAAGCGUGGGGAGCAAACAGGAUUAGAUACCCCAGUAGUC